CUCACAGUGUUUUUUUCAGAGUCCCACACCAGGUCUUUGAAAGCCAGCUGGGAUGGAGUAAGCUCAGGCUGCAAGUAGUGACUGGCCCGAAACUCGUCGCCUACAACAAGGGCUGGUGACCAGGGUGAGGAACUCACCACAGCCACCUGAGAGUCCUGCACUGGAACCGUCAGGAGAAAUCCUUACCUUUCUCUAAGAGCUGGAAAAGCGUGGACGGGCGGAAUCCUGUGGGAACUGCUCCUAUGGUGCAGCAGCUUCGUAACCAUAACUAACAUCUCAGAACUCCCCAACAAACCCACUCAAGAA